GAAUUUUAUAUAUAGUGUGUUUGUUGAAUUUAGUUUAUGAAUGAGUGCAGGUGUAUAUUUAGUUGGGAGGAUUGUUAAAUUAAUUGAACUUUAAUUAUAAUAAGAAUAUAUAUUGGUAAAGUUGAUUAGGAAGGAGUUUUAUAUUAUAUAGGAUUUAAUUACCUUAGGGAUAACAGCGUAAUAAUUUUAGAAAGAUCGUAUUGAUAAGAUUGAUUGC
rnacentral:rRNA from 1 species